GAUGAAGAACGUAGUGAAAUGCGAUACGUAAUGUGAAUUGCAGAAUUCAGUGAAUCAUCGAAUCUUUGAACGCAUAUUGCGCUCUCUGGUAUUCCGGAGAGCAUGCUUGUUUGAGUAUCAGUAAACACCUCAACUUCCAUAUCUUUUUUGAAAUGGGAGUUGGACUUGAGUGAUCCCAACGCUUUUCCUCACCGAAAAGUGGCGGGUUACUUGAAAUGCAGGUGCAGCUGGACUUUUCUCUGAGCUAUAAGCAUAUCUAUUUACUCUGCCUAAAAAACAGAUUAUUACCUUUGCUGCAGCUAACAUAAAGGAGAUUAGUUCUUGUGCUGACUGAUGCAGGAUUCACAAAGACAGGCUUCGGCCGACUUUGUAAACUCGAUCUCAAAUCAAGUAAGACUACCCGCUGAACUUAAGCAUAUCAAUAAGCGGAGGA
rnacentral:misc_RNA from 1 species